rnacentral:rRNA from 1 species
GACGAACGCUGGCGGCGUGCUUAACACAUGCAAGUCGAACGCUGAAGCUCAGCUUUUGUUGGGUGGAUGAGUGGCGAACGGGUGAGUAACACGUGAGUAACCUGCCUCCGUCUUUGGGAUAACGCCCGGAAACGGGUGCUAAUACUGGAUAUUCACUGGUCUUCGCAUGGGGGUUGGUGGAAAGGGUUUUUCUGGGGGGGGAUGGGCUCGCGGCCUAUCAGCUUGUUGGUGGGGUGAUGGCCUACCAAGGCUUUGACGGGUGGCCGGCCUGAGAGGGUGACCGGUCACAUGAGGACUGAGAUUCGGCCCAGAGUCCUACGGGGGGCAGCAGUGGGGAAAAUUGCACAAUGGGCGGAAGCCUGAGGCAGCGACGGCGCGUGAGGGAUGGAGGCCGUCGGGUUGUGAAUCUCUUUCGCUCAUGGUCAAGCCGCAACAAUGGUUGUGGUGAGGGUAGUGGGUAAAGAAGCGCCGGCUAACUACGUG